UCUUUAAUGGAGAGUUUGAUCCUGGCUCAGGACGAACGCUGGCGGCGUGCCUAAUACAUGCAAGUC
rnacentral:rRNA from 4 species